rnacentral:rRNA from 1 species
UACGUAGGUGACAAGCGUUGUCCGGAUUUACUGGGCGUAAAGAGCGCGCAGGCGGUCGAUCAAGUCGAGUGUGAAAGCCCCCGGCUCAACUGGGGAGGGUCAUUCGAUACUGAUCGACUCGAAGGCAGGAGAGGGUAGUGGAAUCCCCGGUGUAGUGGUGAAAUGCGUAGAUAUCGGGAGGAACACCAGUGGCGAAGGCGACUACCUGGCCUGUUCUUGACGCUGAGGCGCGAAAGCUAGGGGAGCAAACGGG